rnacentral:lncRNA from 1 species
UGGUCCCUAUUUGUGUUUUUUAGGUAAAUAGAUCCGAUAGCACAUAUUUUAAUUUUUUUUUUAUUUUAGUUUUGGGAUGACUAGAUCUACAUCACGAAUCUUAUUAUUUGUCGAUUUAUAGUUUUUUGGGUAAUUUCUUUAGGUAUUUGUAUGGCGUAUAUUAUGAUUAAUUUUGUAAUUGAAUUAUUGUUUAGAUUUUAAAUUUUCUGAACUCUCUAUGAAUGUCGAUCGGAUUCUGACUUGCCCUUUGAAAAUGUUAUGAAUGGAUUUUUUGAUGUUACUUGUAUUUUUUAACUAAUUUUGAUUAUGUAUUUUGGGGUGUCAUCUAUGCCUUAUGUGUAAUAUCAUUC